GGAUACCGUAGUAAUUCUAGGGCUAAUACAUGAGUAAAGUCCCGGUGGGAUGGGUUUAUUAAAAUGAAAACCAUAUGCUUCGGCAUGAUAGUGAGUAAUAAUAACCUAUCGUAUCGCAUGGUUAAAGGAACGAUGAAUCUUUCAAGUUUCUGCCCUAUCAACUUUCGAUGGUAGCAUAUGGGUCUACCAUGGCAGUAACG
rnacentral:rRNA from 1 species